UCACUUCAUGCAAACAAAGAAAAUGAAAGUUGUUUUCAAUCAUAUCAUGAAAUUGUACGAGGAAGAAAUAACUGUAGCAUUUCUUUUCAUAAAUGAACACUUCUUUUUGUAAGUGUAUGUGUGUCUACAUAGACCAUACUCUAGUUGAAGAUGUAUUCAGAGGCAGUCUCUUGGCAUAUUUUAAUCAUGCAACUGGAUAAUGUCACUUCAGUAAAGAAGAUAUCCAUUGUCUACCAAGGUAGAAAAUGACAAAGGAAGUCCAGUUUUAUUGAUCAACUAGCUGUUUUGUGUAGAGUCCCUGCUGACUCCAAGUUCCUUCCAACUUGAGCUCAUUAGAAUAUGAUGACAUCACCCAUUUCACUUGAGAGAUGUCUGAAGACAAAAUGCUUCUCUAGGAAUGUGCAAUGAAGAUCUUAUCCCAUGCUGAAUAUGGAUGGCACUCGAUGGAGCUCUUCCUGGACCUUUAUCAAAUCAACAACAAUUAUUAUUCUGCAGCAAACUCAGAAACAGCACUCUUGGCUCAGGCUGACCAUACUGCAGCCAAAAACUCAAGCAUAACUUCCAUUACCAUCGUGUGUAACCUGCCUCUCAGAAAUACAAGGACAAGUGUACAAAGUGCUUUGUUGAAACAGUUGGAUUUAGUCCUGUGAAUGAUGCUUCUGUAGAUCAUCCAGUCCACAUAGAAAGGCCAUAAUAUAAAGCCAGAUUUGUAAA